ACGUAGAUGGCAAGCGUUAUUCGGAUUUACUGGGCGUAAAGGGUCCGCAGGGGGUCUGUCAAGUCGGAUGUGAAAUUCCGGGGCUCAACCCCGGACGUGCAUCCGAAACUGCCGGACUAGAGUGAGCGAGGGGCCGAUGGAAUUCCUGGUGUAGCGGUGGAAUGCGUGGAUAUCAGGAGGAACACCGAUGGCGAAGGCGGUCGGCUGGCGCUCAACUGACCCUCAGGGACGAAAGUGCGGGGAGCAAACAG
rnacentral:rRNA from 1 species